AGUGAACGCUGGCUGUAGGCCUAACACAUGCAAGUCGAACGGCAGCACAGUAAGAGCUUGCUCUUACGGGUGGCGAGUGGCGGACGGGUGAGGAAUACAUCGGAAUCUACUUUUUCGUGGGGGAUAACGUAGGGAAACUUACGCUAAUACCGCAUACGACCUACGGGUGAAAGCAGGGGAUCUUCGGACCUUGCGCGAUUGAAUGAGCCGAUGUCGGAUUAGCUAGUUGGCGGGGUAAAGGCCCACCAAGGCGACGAUCCGUAGCUGGUCUGAGAGGAUGAUCAGCCACACUGGAACUGAGACACGGUCCAGACUCCUACGGGAGGCAGCAGUGGGGAAUAUUGGACAAUGGGCGCAAGCCUGAUCCAGCCAUACCGCGUGGGUGAAGAAGGCCUUCGGGUUGUAAAGCCCUCUUGUUGGGAAAGAAAAGCAGCAGGUUAAUACCCCGCUGUUCUGACGGUACCCAAAGAAUAAGCACCGGCUAACUUCGUG
rnacentral:rRNA from 1 species